rnacentral:piRNA from 1 species
UGGCCUCUAAAGGAAUGCCACGGGGAGGA